GGAAAAGUGAGUACCGGCUAGUAUCGCGAGAUCAGGAAGGUGGCCGAGUGUGUCGCCGCGGCCAUCAGGCACUUCUCCUUCCUGCCCUUGUAUGAAGAAGGAUGUGUUUGCUUCCCCUUGUGCCAUGAUUGUAAAUUUCCUGAGGCCUCCUCAGCCCUGCAGAACUGGCUAGAGCAAUGUAUCUUAGGCUCACUUAAGGAAGCUGUAGAGAUGAGCCCAAGGAGGGAAACCAGAAGAGCCCCCCAGGCUCACCAGUUGUUUGUUGGCUCCCUACAAACAUGUCAUUCAAGUGGCUAAUCUUACAACAGCACAAAUUCAUCUAACCAGAGAUACUCUAUUAUAGCAAAGAAGAAAGAUAAUUUCAUUGAGCCAUCCUGUUUUACAGCACCCAACAGAAUCCCUUCAAAGCCUCGUGGUCUGACACCCUAUGCUACGUGACUUGUGACCCAUCCAUUUGUCAUGUUCUUCGGGAAUGUGGCUAAGGGGCUAAGAUGUGACUUGAAAAGAAAGGUAGAACAAGAUCAUCUCAAAUUUAUUAUCAAGGAAUAGUUCAGAAAACGACUUCAGACCACAGAGACAGCAGAACAGAUGGUCCGGCAUGGAUAGAGCAUCAGACACUCACAGACUGUGCCAACAAGAGCCAUCGAGUCAAAACAGCCAAAGGAAGGAGGGUCAUGGAAUGGGUUCUCUCACACCAAACUGAUGCCCAGAGGCCCUCAGCAUGAAUAACAAAGGCAACCAGACCCACAAGCCAUACUGAGUGGAUACAAAACCUAUACCUAGGCUGACAUCCCAAAUGUGUGUGGCAAGUUAGAUGAUGAUGGCACAAAAGACAGAACACCUUGCUUCUGGCCAUUGUCAGCUCUUGGAAGAGAGCACACUUUUAGAGGAGCAGCUGCAAGGAGCCUGAGAACAAAACUGGAAAUGUCUGUUAUGAAAGCCUUCACAGGAAAUUCUGCAAGUGGCAACGUGGGUCCAUUCCGUGUGUGUCACUAGAGCUGGCGCAAGCCCAUGGCCAUGGUGAGGCAGCGUUUCCACUGGAACUAAUCUGAUACCUGCACCAGCUCUUGCAACUGUGCAGUGUUCCCACUGCAAACUACGGAUGGGGUAAAAGACUGCUCACCUCCUAUUUCUCAUCUAAUCUCACACACUCUGUUUGAUGAGGCUAUGGAGAAACAGGUCUUCUCAUACACUAAAGGUGGGAGUACAAACAAUUCAAGCCCUGUGCAGGACAAUUAGGCAAUACCUAUCAAAAUUAUACAUGAUUUUUCCUGCUGACCCAGCAAUUCCACUUCUGGGAAUAAUUGACAGAUAUAGGUGCAUAUGUACAAAAUGAUGGAAAGCUCUCUGGUAUAUAUUAGUAAGUGAUAAAACAAGGUGUAAAAUAGUGUAUAUAUGGCUACUACCUUUUGUUUUAAAAAUGGGGGAAAAUGGUGGAGCUUGCGGUGAGCCGAGAUCGUGCCACUGCACUCCAGCCUGGGCGACAGAGCGAGACUCCGUCUCAAAAAAAAAACAGGGUGGGGUGGGGGGGAAAUAAUAGUACAUACUCAUAUUUACCUGUAUCUAUAUAAAACACACUAUCAAGGAUUCACAAGAAACUAAUACAAAUGAUCACCUUAUAGAUGGUAUGUAUUGGGGGAUACUGAGGUGAGCAGGGUAUAAGUGGGGCAAGACUUUUCAGUGUAAACUUCUUUUAAAUUUUAUUUUGAUUUUUGAAUAAUGUAAAUUAACUGUCAAAUAAUUAAAUUAAAAAUAACCAAUUUAUUAACAAAA
rnacentral:lncRNA from 10 species